rnacentral:rRNA from 1 species
UACGAGGGGGGCAAGCGUUGUUCGGAAUUAUUGGGCGUAAAGCGCACGUAGGCGGAUUGUUAAGUCAGGGGUGAAAUCCUGGAGCUCAACUCCAGAACUGCCUUUGAUACUGGCGAUCUUGAGUCCGGGAGAGGUGAGUGGAACUGCGAGUGUAGAGGUGAAAUUCGUAGAUAUUCGCAAGAACACCAGUGGCGAAGGCGGCUCACUGGCCCGGUACUGACGCUGAGGUGCGAAAGCGUGGGGAGCAAACAGG